rnacentral:rRNA from 1 species
CCCGAAAGAUCGAACGGGGAGAUUCAUCGUCAGCGGCGUCGGCUUCGCCGUGGCUCGCGAUGUCGCGUACCCACGGGUUCGCGGCACGCGGUCGCGUCGCGUUAUGACCGGCGUCGUAGGCGUGCACUUCUCCCCUAGUAGGACGUCGCGACCCGUUGGGCGUCGGCAAUAAGGCCCGAUUGGUAGCCUGUCUCGGCGUUCGCGCCGGGUCAGACCAUCGGUUGCCCGGCCGGCUGCCCGGCGGUACUCGCACGGUAUUGAGCCGCAUCUCGAACUUGCGCCCAGCCCGUCGCAAGCUCGGUCAGCGAUUCCCGGUGGUCGGACCUAGCGCCGUCCCCGGGCCUGGCCAGCUGUUGGCAGACGGUGUCCUCGGGCGGGCUCGCCAUACAAAAAUACCGGUCGGCGACGCUACUGCUUUGGGUACUUUCA